rnacentral:tRNA from 6 species
CGGGGCGUAGCGCAGCCUGGUAGCGCACUUGCAUGGGGUGCAAGGGGUCGAAGGUUCAAAUCCUUCCGUCCCGACCA